rnacentral:ncRNA from 2 species
CGCCGUUCCUAGGGGUGUCCUGAGGCGCGGUUCAUCGACCCUUCAAGCGGUGUCACACACGUGGCAUAGGUGCGGGGAGAUCGGAAUAGCUUCUGACGGGCUGAGAGUUUGCGCACGCGGUGCGCGAUAACCCUUUGAACCUGAUCCGGGUCAUGCCGGCGAAGGGAAGGACGAUUGCCACUGC